rnacentral:rRNA from 1 species
AACGAACGCUGGCGGCAUGCCUAACACAUGCAAGUCGAACGAGAUCCUUCGGGGUCUAGUGGCGCCCGGGUGCGUACCGCGUGGGAAUCUGCCCUUAGGUUCGCAAUAACAGUUAGAAAUGCCUGCUAAUACCGGAUGAUGACGUUAAGUCCAAAGAUUUAUCGCCGGAGGAUGAGCACGCGUAGGGUUAGCUAGUUGGUGUGGUAAAGGCGCACCAAGGCGACGAUCCUUAGCUGGUCUGAGAGGCAGAUCAGCCACACUGGGACUGAGACACGGCCCAGACUCCUACGGGAGGCAGCAGUGGGGAAUAUUGGACAAUGGGCGCAAGCCUGAUCCAGCAAUGCCGCGUGAGUGAUGAAGGCCUUAGGGUUGUAAAGCUCUUUUACCCGGGAGGAUAAUGACGGUACCGGGAGAAUAAGCCCCGGCUAACUCCGUG